UGACAAUGGCUCCCUCGCCCCAGACUCUCCGCUCCUGACACCCCAAGAUAUGAUCGCUCAAGCGUGGCGUCUGCAGGGCGGUUGGUGCCCAGACUCCGCAGGCCCCAGGACUGCCAGACGUCAGAGCUGAACAUCUGGUCGACCCAAUGCGGCUGCCUCCUGCUUCCCAGUGCAAAGGAGCUGGCAGCACAGUGUGUUCUCCGGGGGGCCACUGUAGGAGCUGGGUCCAUGUGGGCAUCAGGACAGCCAAGCUGAGCCCUCACUCUGCCCCCAAGGGUGGCGUAACCACGUCCCAUGAGCCGGGAGCACCGAGCAGCAGCAGCGGCGAUGCCCUCUCCCUCAGCUCAGGAGCAGGAACUGAGCUCCGCGGGCCACCCCGGCUCUGGGGCCCUUCUUGUGCCACUGGCGCUGACCUCAGUUGGUGGCGGCCCUGGGCUGAUAGCUGAUCACCCUGAUCUCUGCCUCCCUUGUCACACGGGCGCCCCUCCCUGUGUGCGUCUGUUUUCUUCACAUGAGGUCACCAGGCCCUGGGGGAGGUCCUCCCUGACCCGGUGUGACACCGGUUUCGCAGAACGAAUAACACCUGCAAACACUCACUUUCCAAGAGCUCGCAUUCUGAGGCUCCGGGUGACAUGGAUUUUGGAGAACAUUUCUUCAGCACAGUCUAGCCUCCUUGAAGAAAGUUUGGGGAAGGGACAAGCACAAAUCAUUACAACAGAUGAACCCACUGUGGAAGGACAGCAGGGGACCACGUCACACAGCACUGCCCCUGGAAAUCCCCUGAACGCCUGCCCGCGCCAGCAAGGAGUCACCGGUCACGCUGGGUGACGCAGGGAGCCAGCGGGACUCAUCCUCAGUCUUCGCACGGGCCUGGAGUGGGUGGACGGCAGAUGCCGCACCUCCCUGAGGUGGGGUCCCCACCGAGGCGACCCUGUCCACCACCCGAGAGCGCUGAGAGGAAGUGACAGAAACCGAACAGCAGGGUCACAUCUGCCCCUGGCCAUUUCAGCCCUGCUCUCCAAGGGGGCCUUGUGACAGGGGAGUGGCGUCGGCAUAUUUACAAAUAAACGAUCCCCGCCUGGCUGUGACAGCCAGCUCCCCACCCUCCAGGCUGACCCCAGCAGCUCUGCGGGCGGGCCGGGAGGGACUGGACUCAGACGCUGGUCUGCAGCGACACGGUGCCAGGCUCUCCCGCUGCUGGGAAGCGGGGCUUGCAGGCCGCCUGGCUUGCUUGCAGCCGCAGCCUCCUUGGAAAGUUCUCCCCCAGCCCCCGCCCCACUCCGGGCUGCGGCGGCGGAAGGAUCAUCGUCCACCAGCCUGCAGGCGGAGCUGCCCCACACGCAAGGCUGGGCCAGCGCUGGCUUUGGCUGAGAGGUCCCAGGUCAGAAAGAGCCGCCCGGAAGGUGGCAGGUUUCAUGGGCUGCUAUGGCCUAGGGAGUCCCUGAAUGAGCGGGCAGCUGAACCCCGAGCCCUGUGUCCCUGAGGUUAGGCUACCUGUCCUCGGCCAGCGUGGCCCAUGCCCAGGGGCCCGAUUGCAGCCGGAUGCUGCCUUUCGACCUGUGAGGAUCCGGCCUGCGGAAGGCCCUGGCUGUCGGGAAGCCGCCCACGCUGACGCCCUCGCCAUCAGAGUAGAGAUGGCUGCGCUUUGCCCAGCGUAUUCAGAACACGAAACCCAACACGUGUGCUUUGGUCAGAGCCUCUCCUCCCACCAGCCUCCGUAAGCGAUCCGCACAUUUGAAGAACAACACUGACUUCUGUGGCCCUUUUGGGGAUCUUAAGUAUGACCUGUCACCAGACAAAUGCACAGGGUGAUCAAAUGAAAGGGUGCACAUUUAUGCUUUCAAAAAAUUUAUUAUAGGGGCUGGGGAUGUAGCUCAG